UUGAUCAUGGCUCAGAGUGAACGCUGGCGGCAGGCCUAACACAUGCAAGUCGAACGGCAGCACAGGAGAGCUUGCUCUCUGGGUGGCGAGUGGCGGACGGGUGAGGAUAACGUCGGAAUCUGCCUAUUUGUGGGGGAUAACGUAGGGAAACUUACGCUAAUACCGCAUACGACCUACGGGUGAAAGCGGAGGACCUUCGGGCUUCGCGCAGAUAGAUGAGCCGACGUCGGAUUAGCUAGUUGGCGGGGUAAAGGCCCACCAAGGCGACGAUCCGUAGCUGGUCUGAGAGGAUGAUCAGCCACACUGGAACUGAGACACGGUCCAGACUCCUACGGGAGGCAGCAGUGGGGAAUAUUGGACAAUGGGCGCAAGCCUGAUCCAGCCAUGCCGCGUGUGUGAAGAAGGCCUUCGGGUUGUAAAGCACUUUUGUACGGGAAGAAAAGCACCUGGUUAAUACCCGGGUGUCAUGACGGUACCGUAAGAAUAAGCACCGGCUAACUUCGUGCCAGCAGCCGCGGUAAUACGAAGGGUGCAAGCGUUACUCGGAAUUACUGGGCGUAAAGCGUGCGUAGGUGGUAGUUAAGUCUGAUGUGAAAGCCCUGGGCUCAACCUGGGAAUUGCAUNGGAUACUGGCAGUCUAGAGUGCGGUAGGGUA
rnacentral:rRNA from 1 species